GUUCUUAGUGCAAAAUAUUAUCCCAACGGAAACAUCCUGAAUGCGGGACCGAAGAAGGGUUCUUCUUACACUUGGCAGAGCAUUGUCUCAGGUAUCCAAACCUUUAAACGGGGUUGCAUUUGGCGUGUUGGCACGGGAUCAAAAAUCAACAUUUGGCGAGAUCCCUGGAUACCAUCAAGUGAAACUCGAAAAGUAAUAACACCAAGGGGUGAUACACUACUGGGAAAAGUUGAAGAAUUAAUUGAUCCACACACUGGACAGUGGGACGUUGACCUUAUUCAAUCAAUUUUUUCGCCUGUGGAUGUUCAUCGAAUCCUCCAAAUACCUCUUCGGGUGGAAGUGUUAGAGGAUUUUCUUGCAUGGAGUGGUACUCGAUCAGGGACGUUCUCUGAUCGGUCGGCCUAUCACGUGGAAUUUGAACAUCAGUUCGGUCAUCAAUGGAAUCGGCCGGAGGGUCAAGGCCGUUCCCAACUGAACACUAUAUGGAAACAUAUUUGGAGUCUUCAUAUCCCAGGUAAAGUGAAGCAUUUCGUUUGGAAAGUGCUUAGGGGAGUACUGCCUUGUUUCGGAGUUCUUGCGGGACGUCAUAUCCCAACAAGUGGAGAGUGCCCAAUCUGUCAUGUUGGGUUUGAAGACAUCCAACAUUGUUUAUUCACUUGCCCUCGUGCUAUUGAAAUUUGGUCUGAACUUGGUCUGGUAGAUGUUAUCACAAAGGCGGUUGCU
rnacentral:rRNA from 1 species